rnacentral:lncRNA from 7 species
GAGGUUGGGCGACUCGGGAAAGUGAAAGUCCUCGGGAGGCCCGGAGACGCGGAGACGACGGUGUGCGUCCGCCAAAGCCGAGCCGAAGCAGUCGACCUUGUUGAGGGGGAAGCUUGCGGCGCGGGGUCGCCCGCAUCCCCCCUCCCCCCAGACGGCGGAACCGGUCAAUGGCGCCAGGCGACGCCUCAGAGCGCCUAGAGGGGUUGCGUUUCCUCCUAGGCUCCUGGUCAUUUGCGAAAUCUCCCAAAGGCUUCGGAUUGAAAUCUGACCCUUCCCGGUCCUUUGCUACCUGAGCCCUGAGGGUGGCCUCGAUUUCCCUGGGUUAAAGGUAAAAAGAGAAUUGGCUGAUUGAAGCCCUGAAGCUACCUGGGUUACCUGUCAGGAUUGUUGACGCCAGGCACAGUGAUUCAGACCCUCUAAGGAUGAACCCAGGGCACUGGCGUUGAGCAGUUCGGGAUUCGAGUAUUGGUUCUGUCUUCUAGCUGUGAUUUGUUUUUAUUUAUUAUUGACACAAGGUCUUGCUAAGUUGCCUAGGCUGGCCUCAAACUUGUGUAUUCAAGUGAGCCAGGGAAGUGGGUUAGGAUGUGGCACGGGAACCUGUUGUGUAACUUUUCGGAAUAUUCUGAUGAUUGCCACGAGUGUUUCUACAAACAGUAGAUGCAGGGGUCACCGAAUAGAGGUAGGAACCUGUCUCCCGUGUGUCCAAGACCUAAGCCCCUCAGAGUAUCAUUCAGCUGUCAUGGUCCCCCAGAACCAGUGCAGUGCCGCCUAGGACAGGGCAGUCUAGAUUUUAUGGUAAAUGAAACAUGGCCUGGGGUCUGAGUCCUUUAGAAGUGAAGAUACAAGGCCAUCUCCUAGGCUACUGCAAGUCCAAUCCUGCUUCUAGCGGAGAGAAAAUAUCUUGCUGGGACCUUAAGUUGGGUAUUUAAACCUCCAUUCUUAGGUUAAUUGUUUCCGAUCCCAGAAGAGAAGUUGGAAACUCUUCCCUGGGUUGUACCCACUUGCCUGGGCGGGAGGAGAACAAACCCCUCUGCUCACUGCACGGCCUUCGACUUUUCACUAUUACAUCCACGCCCCCAGGACAUUCUUUUGUGCUCUUAUUUAAAGGAAAUUAAGUCAUCUUCCUCCUACCCUGGGCCUUUGCACAUGCAAAUUCUGUCUGAAGUCGCUGCCCCAAGGUUUGGGUUUUGUUUUGUUUUGUUAAGACAGGGUCUCUACUUCGUGUAGAAGCUCUGGUUGUUUUGGAACUUACUGUAUAAACCAGCUUGCCUCAAACUCACAGAAACACUCCUGCCUCUGCCUCCCAAGUGCUGAGAUUAAAAGUUUGCACCACCACA